CGUAUAGAUUUUUAAUUUUCCAUUGGCGCCCUUCCGAUGGCCGCCAUCUGCCGUUGUCGUCCGUCGACUUGACGAUCAAGCAAAACGCAAAAUUUGGGGAAUUCGGGGCCAAACAGAGGAGAACGAUAAUAACGCGUAUCAAUCGUUUUCUGUUCACCUGCAAGAGGUUCUUGGACGACACGGCGGCCAUAAUGCAGCAAUCCACUAGGGGACGACGAAAUUGCAUGAUGACUUCCCGGAGAAUUACCUGGUUAGCUCGUAAUUGCAUUUGAUUCCGUUAUUGCUAACACGAAAACUUACUUCCACGAGCAUCUCGUUCGCCUGUAGGAAGUCUUAGAAACGCAGUAUGAGAAACAUUUCGGAGGCAAUAAACUAACGACUACAAUGGCAAAUUCCCUACAAAAUUUUGCAGUUUUUAGGACUUCAAGGCAUUGUUUCAGGAGGCAUUAACAUCGCUCAAACUUGCCGGCUAAUUAAACCCGUAUUAUGCAUCGGUCUUUUCCAAGGUGGAAAUAGCUUGUAAAUGACAAACGUUUCUCCGGGACGAAAGGGAAUCGAUGUCAAUUGCACAAUUGCUCGGGACGACAGGCAGAGCAGCGAAAAAGCGAAACGGUUCAAACUUCAUGUCCCAAUGCGCCGAUAGUCCGGUCCACGGCUUUCCCCCACUUUCGACCGGGUACGCGAUCGAGAAUUCUUCGGAGACUCCAAUUCUUCGUUGCGAGUGGCCCUCUACUCCGACAACGCUGUUCCGGCAAUUGAAAAAGUUUGUUCAGCGAAUUAACAAUGGCCGACGUACGACGACGACGAUCCUCAACAACCCGCAUCAAUCCACCUGCAUCGACCGUGGCGACCAUUACUCACAUUGCGGGCGCGACUCCGUGAACGUUGUUUACGUCACCGAAGGCGGUGCAUCAUUGGAGAGGCUGGCAUUUAUCCCGGUUCUUUCCUGUAAGUGACAUGUUAUACAUUAAUUUAUUAUUCCUUUAUUAGUAAAAUGAAAAAUAUCUUAUAUCCAAAGGGUUUGUAAAACGGCGAAAACUCAACGAAACUUUGAAUAAUUGAUAUAGGCAUUUACAAAACGAUUUUAUAUUCAAUUCAUUUCUAUGCCUGUAUAUUAACGAGUCAAAAUGUAUCGAUCUUUCAUUUAUUUGAAACCUUUCUAUCGCCUUUAAGUUUCGUUCGCCCCAAUACAAAACAAUAGUACUAUAAUCGUCAUUUCAACGUGAUGCAGAUUGACCCAUUCAACGAUCAGAGAAAUACACGUCAAAAUGCAAUACGUUUUUUUUUCCCGAUUGCAUCAGACUUUCUCUUCUCGCUUUCGCUAAAUUUUAAACAUACAUAUAUCCAUUUCAGAUAUUAAAAAAAAAACAGACUUAAUGUAUUGACAUUUCGCUUUUGUAAUCUCGAAACUCUUGGCGGAACACUCCGCGAUCGGGCAGAAAAAAAAAUCGAUGUAUCCUUCAUAUGUAACGAUGUUUUUAUGCGCGCUUGAUGGUCAGCGGGACCGAAGCUUUAGUGUAUCGACGUGCUCGGACUUACUUCCAAAGCUAUGUAGUAGAUACACCGCACUUCGCUGUGCGGUGUAUCUUCGAGAAAUGGGGAUAUGCAGAUUAGAUGAAUAGCAAUUUUGCGUGUUCGUGACCGCCGCUGAAUGGAAAAUGCGAUGUGUAUAUAAUCAAGAAAUACGCUCGAUAUAAAUGAGACGAACAACCGUCAUGAUUUUAUUCUCGUAACGUAGAAAUCGUAAUUUUCUUCGGAAAAGCAUAAUCUUCGAUAUUUUUCGCGCAAAUCAAUAAAUGUACGAUCUACUUCGAAACCGUGGACUGGUUUUAGAGAUGAAAACCGCGUGAAAGUCCGAUUGUAGAUAUAUAUAAAACCUACGUCAUAUUUUCGUGAAGAAGACAAUGUUGAUUUCGAACUUCUCUUCGAACGUGUAAAACUAAUUUCUGACGAAUACUUCAACCGUACCGGGUGCGAAUCCUUGCGGUAUUUAAACGCGGGAUUUGUAGGAACCGCGCAAAUCGGCUUGGCGCGGCUAAUCUCUCUCUUCGCGAGUCGAGUUACCUCGCAAAAAUAGCGGAACGAGCCCGUCCGUCGAACAUGCGCGUUAGGCGAAGGCAAGAAUAAAAAAGGAUUAAGCAGCGGGAAAAAGCUUCCACGUGCGAAACACAAAGUUCGCGAUACGUGCGCGAAAACGGGCGAACCGCACUACGAGUGAAAGCGUAGUCGGAAUAAAAACGAAGGGAGAUCAUCCUCGGUCGCGGAUACUCGCCCUCUUGCCGUCUCUCUCGUGCUAGAGUCCAAUUUAUCGAAAAAUGUAAAAAACCGCGCGGCAAAAAGCACCUCGUCGAAGUCGGCAUCGUCGGCAAUAUUGAGAGAGAGAGAGAGAGAGGAAGAGAGAGAGUUUGGCAUUAAAAAAUCUCCCUCUUGCAGCGCCGAAGAAGGGAGAGACUUCUUGUUACGAACCCUUCGCCGGUGGUUCGCACCCUUCCUCCAAGAAUGACUUAAGUACCCUCCUCGUCGCGGUGAGUUUCUUUUGCUUAUAUUUUCAAAUAUAUCUGCCCCUUCAUCCGAUCGUGAACUUCUCCUCUGCUCCGUUCCUUUAUCAUUUUUAUUCGAGUGAGAAGAGACUUUUCUCUUUGUGCGAAUAGCCGGUGGGAAACGACAACGCUGUCUCGUAAACGCGGCAAAGCCGCCGCACCGUUUACAAGCUUACGUGAGUAGGACUCUGUAAAUAACUUUCGCGGGGUAACUUUAGCACACCGACAAACGGCAGCAGCGGUCGAAAUAUUCUCGCAGGAAUGUCAUCGUGUUUCGUGCUCGGCUUGUUAUUUUCGCCGUCGUAAUCGUGUUUAUCGAUUAAACAUACACGUCAAUUGUCGCAAUUUAUUUCUUAGUUGCAACUUGCUUUGUAUCCUAUUCUAUCGCAAUUUUGAUACCGCGUAUUGCUGUGACUUACCACACCGUCACGCAUCUUUCUCGUGCUUCGUUUUUCAUUUCUUCGUGUCUCCGAUCACUUGAGGGAAUGAGUACCUCUUAACAGUAACUUAUAUAACAUGAAAGGCAGAAAGUAUUAUUCCACGUUUCGAUUUUAUCGCUUUAAUUUAAAUCCGAGACAACGAGAGAGAAACGUAGGGAGGUCGAAUUGCGAAGUCAGGAUUUUCUUCGUGGCAUUCCUUUCUCGCGGAGGCCGAGAAUGGCCUCUUCGUCGCACGCGGAACUGCUCUUAGAAUUUUUAUGGGAUACCGGUAUUAUGUACGAGACGCGAACACCGUUCUCGCACCUGCGUGGAAACAACCACUGUCGGCACGCCAACGAUGCGACGGGGGUGCUAUUACGCGCAUAAAAAAAGAAGAAAAAAAGAAAUUUACUCCCUGAAACUGCCUUCCCGGGAGCACAGCCUGCGCCGACGAAAAUAUUAAAGCGAAAUGCUUUAACUACCGAUGACUUUAAUAAAAUUCAAAAUAUUAUUUCGCUCCUCCAACCGUACCUUGCGACAGUCUCUUGCAAAUAGCACGGCGAUGGCGUGUGUUAAGUUAGCCCCCACAAAUUAAAAUUCGGUAGUUCUGAUGAGAGAGAGAAUUUUACAAAGAUUAUUAAUAUCCCUGUCACCAUUUAUUAAUUACAUUUAAUCAUUUUUCUCAUAAGAAUUAAAAGCACAAACAUUUUAGAUAAAAUUAUUUUUGUCGCGCGUAAUACUUAAAAGCAAAUUGCCUACCAUGUACACUCUUGAAAUGCGUAAAAAUGUUUAUAUUUUUUAAAAUUUACUUUAUAUAUUUGGCAAGCAUAUAAAUCUCUGUCUGAGGAUUUUAAUCUUUUUAAUUAGUUUUACUUUAAUAAUCCUCAACCCCUGGAUUGUUUAAGAAGCAAUAUCUAUUUCGCAAUAUUUUCUUCGAGUUUUCGCUGACUAAUGUGAUUAAUCUCGGAUAUCCCGAUUUCUGCUCGUAAACGAGAUUCGCUGAUGGCUCGACAGGCGACUUGAAAAAAUCGAUUGGAAACUCACCAGCUAGCCUCCGACAUUUUCGUCGACUCAUCUCCAUCAAAUCAUGAUUUGCUUAGGGGAAGGGUCCUCCUAAUAAGAUAAACCAAGCGGGAGAACUGGUGGCGGUUGAAGGGGGCGCGUACACGCUCCCUUGGAGCUUAGUCACGAGUCUUUCGCCGAAUCAGGAAAAUUAUAAUUCUCGUAAGUGCUGCUGGCUUUGUCGCGACCGGGAAGAGUUGGUUUUCUUGCGACGUGCGAGAAACGUCUUUCGAGAUUCGCGUGCUCCAUACCGUUUCCUAGCCAAAUAAUUUUCCGGAUACUCUUUCGGCACGCGUUCUCGUCCGAUCGGAUAAAGUGAAAUGACAAAUUGAAACAUAUUGCAAGACCGAAGAAACAUUAUUGGCGCUCGUGAGAUUCGUUUCCGUCGAAAGUGGACAAGGAUUUCGCGUCGCGAUUCUCUCCACAAUAGAGAGGCAUUUCGCCUCUUACAAGAUAAAAAGUCGCAAACGGUUUCGUAAAAAUGAUAGACACGAAAUGUCGUUAUUGAAAGAAAAAAAAUGGUUCCUCUAUAUUAUUCCUUUUCAUGGUAUUUCCUGCGUCGCGCUACAUUUAUAUAUUGGUAUCAUUAGAAAAGUGAGGAAACAAUUGGUACAAUAACGCGCAAGUGAAGUGUAACGUGACAUUCAUGAAUGGCAAUCAUUGUGGUCAACGUGGACGCGACUAGAUUUCAGAUUUUAUCGAGCCAAUAAUAUCCGGUAUAGAAUAUACGAGACCUUUAUUAUAUAUGACAAGCGGUGCGGAUUGUACAACAGGGCAGUGAAUAUUUUUCUCUUUUUCAUUCCCGUUAAAUAUGAUUUUUACUGAUAAAAAAUUUAUACCACGCUUCAAAAACUGAAUACAAUACGAUUGUGAUUGAGCUAACUGUCGGCAAUAAAAUACAAUUGGAUUUACUUCUGUAAUACGUGAAGUUCCCUCUCUCUCGUAGACAAAAAAUGGGAGAAAUUUUCAUAUUGCAUGCCGCUUUGUUUUUUACAGAGGACAUUUAUGGUAGUGUAUAUAGGGUUUACGUAAAAUUUUAUGUACACAACGGUAAUGUAAACUCUGUGAAUUAAUCUUUAUAAUUUUUCGUGGCUCCACUGGUCCGCAUGUAAAUCGAAACGCGUUUACCGUAACGAUAUAUCACUUUUUUGCAUUUCUAUCUUGUCUCUUUAGACCGCGUAUUUUUAAGCGAUUAGCGAAAAUAAAGGGGAAUAACAUCGGCUUACUCUCCUCUCCCCCCUUCCUCGAAUAAUCGUGUUAUUUUCAACGACACGUUAGACGCACGUAGUAUUUGCAAUCAACUUGUUUAAGCUAAACGAAGUUUAAUGCAGACAUUUUGGAAGCUCGGCUUUUAAAUUUAAACUGCACAAUGUCCGUGGAAGCACAUCGACGAUUGGAGAAUGGAAUAUAUUGAGAGCAGUUCUUCAAGAUUUUCUCUUCGCUUGAUAAUCCAUAUAAUUAUCAAGUUACAAAUAUUACGCAUUCAUACAAUAUAAUUAUUUUAAUUAUAAAUAUUUACAGAAAUACAAUAAUUAAAAAUUAAUAUCGAAUGUAUUACUUAGAGGCUAGCUAAUACCUUUCUUCGUCAAUUAAAAUAUAAACUGCUCCUUAAAAUUCAAUGUAAUUACACGAUGCGAUCGAUAAAUUAGCGGUGCACUUAAUUUUUUUCUCUACUAAGUGAGGUCAAAUGCAAUUGCUGGAUGCAACCGGAGAAGCAAUAUCGGCCAAAGUGGCAGGAAAAAUGAUGGUCGGUCAAACUGACUGCAGCAAAUGAAAAAGUGAUACGUACGUGUUUCAGAAUCGUCGUGAACGUGGUUCGCCUCGAAGGAAAUGAGAGUUGAAGAGUGUCUCUAUUAACCCUUGAACAAAGACCGUUGAAGGAUAAACCAUAAAGCUAACAAUUGGCGAUAUGUUUCUUGAAGAUAUCGCAAGCGUGGGAACGCGGGAUUAGAGCACGUGAAUGUGAGAGAAACGAGUCAUGAAAAAAGUAUUACGUUAAAAAGGGGUCGCGCGGUCGUGAGAAAAUUGAUAUAAUUCCCAACGUGAUUCUAUAAUUCUCAAGAUACCACAUUGGCUGUAUCGAAAGGAAAUUUUCGAGGAGGAGAAUGAUAUGAGAAUUUCUUCCGUGUUCGGUUUCCUGAAAAAUUCACGACAUUGUCAUUGAAUAGAGGAAGAACACAGACAAGACACUGAUAUUGAGAUCAGAGGGAAUUGCGCGUAAAAUAAGAAUCCUCGUGAGCCAAAAAUUUUCAGAAUCGACGGAAAGGUUUCUAGGGUGACUCUCCGUGAAAACCGUGUUUUCAAUCUUCUAUUUUCUCGGGGUCUCCUUUCGGUUCCGCUCGACUACUCCGUCGAUUAUUUAUCGUGUCCCGUUCCAUCUUCGCCCGUCUGUUUCCCAAUCACGGUCGACAGUUGGCCGAUUAAACAUUAACCAAGGAAACCAAGUCGGAAAGAACUAUCGAGAUCAAGAUGUGUGUUGGUCGAUGGCCGCGGCGCGGUGGAAGCAGAUAAGGUCGAAGGUUUCACCGUAAUUGAAAGAGAAAGUUUGCGUAGGUUACACACAUCGGAAAGAUAGGUCGCUCUAUCGAUCACGCUGUCAUGCACGCCACUUCGCGUUCGUCGAAUCUGAACUGACGUCAUAAGCUCGUAUUUCGCGUGCGGGAUAAAACUGUCGUUGACAAUCUAAAUUGACAUCUGUGGAAAGCCUGGGCGGCAGAGAGAGGAGGGGGGGGAGAGAGGCGAGAGAUUAAUUGGAACGAAGCGCAUGCCAAUCUGAAGCCUGAUCAAGUUUUCUCCAAGUAAAUAAAGCGUACAUUUACUCGGCGGUCGUAUAACGUAACGCGUUAAAAAUAAUUAUUUUACAUGAUACAUGGUGGACCUCGUGUUUUUAUUGUUGACGUUAUAAAAUUUUGAGUGAUGCUCUUAACAGAAAAAAUUCUUGACGAAUACUUUUAAUAUAUAAUGAUUAUAAAACAAGAGAAAGUAUCUUAAGUGCAUAUUAUUUCGAACCUAUUGUUCAUACAUGAGGUACAUUAAUUUAAUGAGAAUGCUCUUGCAGGAUGAAAGCCUGGAAAGUGCUACAGUAAUGACAUUUAAUCAAUAUACCUUGUACAUUAGUUUUGCAUAUUUUAAAGAGUAACUCAAUAAGCGUCAUUUUCAUUUCAUAUGGAGUUUGUUUUUAAUUGUACUCACGAUAAUAUAUAUUAAAAAUAUAUGUAUAUAUUUCCAUGUUUUGUGUUUAAGUGUAUAAAUGUGACAACAAUGUUUUUAAUUCCAAACAAUGAUUAAAAAAAACAAUUUUCUAAUAGUUAAAGACUAAAAAUGCUCUAUUUAAAUUAAAUUAUUUACAAUUAAAUAUAUAAAAGUUUUCUAACAAUAAUUUUUGCGUUCUCUGCCAACGAAUACGAAGAUCAAUCCCUAAGACCAAUGACGUUAAAAAAAAUUCUUUCAGAUUAAUAAUCACACACAUAAAGCGCGGAAGCCUCCCGUUUACUCCAAAAUAUACUCAUGUACUUGAAUAUGUAAGAUAAAAAUUUUCUAAUUAAUUUUUUAAAUUAUUCUAUUGUUUUUAUUUUAUUUACUUUUAUAUUUUUUGAAUAGCUUUUUUAUUAAAACAAAUUUUUAUUUUGCGCUUCCAGAAUGCUUCAAACUUCAACUACAAAAUUACUGCUUAUAUGAAAAAAAUUGAUCAUCUUUCGCUCGAAAAAAUCCUGAAUAUGCCAUGUCAAUAAGAUACAAUCUAAAAUGAAAUAGUUUUAAUUUAAAUGACAAUAAAUAUGAAACAUUUUAAAUCGUCACACGAAUCGUUGACAGCUUAUAUUUAUUGUAUCACGAUACAGUGAAAUCAGAAUUGUUUUGUAAACGAGAAAUACACAGUUUCUAUCGAAACCAAAUUUAAUUGAUUCAAAUAAUUUUUUUUUUUAGUCCAAAAGUAAUUUUCGAGUACACUUGUAGAAAUAAUUGUUUCGCAAAA